UAUGGAUCUUAUUCUUAUCGAAGCCAUCCGAUUUCACCGAAUGAGCGCAUAUAGCCCAUCUUGCGCGCUGUAAACCCAUAAUCGAAUUGUGAAAAAUUCGGUUGAAGAAAUAGGAUAAACACGAAAAGUUAAUUAAUCAAACGACAAUGAACAAAAGGAACAUGGAUCUUAUUCUCAUUGAAACCCUUCUAUCAGUACCUGGAUAAAGCAUG